rnacentral:rRNA from 1 species
UGGGGAAUAUUGGACAAUGGGGGCAACCCUGAUCCAGCAAUUCUGUGUGCACGAAGAAGGUUUUCGGAUUGUAAAGUGCUUUCAGCAGGGAAGAAGAAAGUGACGGUACCUGCAGAAGAAGCGACGGCUAAAUACGUGCCAGCAGCCGCGGUAAUACGUAUGUCGCAAGCGUUAUCCGGAAUUAUUGGGCAUAAAGGGCAUCUAGGCGGCCCUGUAAGUCUAGGGUGAAAACCUGCGGCUCAACCGCAGGCCUGCCCCGGAAACUACAGGGCUAGAGUAUCGGAGAGGUGGACGGAACUGCACGAGUAGAGGUGAAAUUCGUAGAUAUGUGCAGGAAUGCCGAUGAUGAAGAUAGUUCACUGGACGGUAACUGACGCUGAAGUGCGAAAGCUAGGGGAGCAAACAGGAUUAGAUACCCUGGUAGUCCUAGCUGUAAACGAUGAUUACUGGGUGUGGGCAUGAAGAGUGUCCGUGCCGAAGCAAAUGCGAUAAGUAAUCCGCCUGGNGGUACGGCCGCAAGGCUG